GCUGGCAGCCGUCUUCUUCACCGCGCUAGAAGGACGCGCGCGUGUGGACAACACGCGUGAGCACAUGCCUUUCCACCUCCUGCUGACCAUGUCGCGGUAGCGAGCUAGAUAACCUCGCUAGAUCCGUGUGGAUCUAAGACACAUCCCCAUUUCUUCCUGCCUCGCUCUUCCUCGCCUCUUAUGGCCAUGGCCGAGCCCCGCCGAAACUUUCCACCACCGUACUCAUAGCCACCACCGUUCCUCGCCCCUCCGAUGUGUCCACGAGCUCCACCUCCGACAGAGCCCAUGUAGCGCGUCACUGACCCAUCCUUCAACCUCCGACCACCAAUAUCGUCACCGCUGAUUCACCCGUACCACACCAUCUCCAAGCCUGCUGAGCGUAUCGCUGCAACCGCUGUGAGCUCCUGCUUUUAACCCCUCUCCUUAACGCAUUAUUAGCUAGCUUUAGCCGAUGUUUCACAGACGACCGAAAUCCGCCUCCACCUAGGCUCGUCGUUGACGAUUCGCCGGUGACCAUUUGGUCACCGCGGCAUGCCCAACGUGCUCAGUGCAUCAUGUCGAUCCACACACACAGUCAUUUUAUAUCCAUCUUCUCACUCGUGCCGCGAGUCCCCUCGGGCUCACCUUGUUGGCUAAACACGAGCCCAGCAUCGCCACACUCCUGAGGCCACCACGAUCGAGCCAAACUCCGGCGCACCUGCUACAUUUCCCCACCCAUGUUGGUACUCUUUCAUCGGUCAUGUUGGUCGCUGCCACCAUGGCCCAUGAACCUUGUGACUCUGGCCUCGGGAUCUCUCCCUAGAUCCGGGCGGCACUAGAGGCGGUGUCCGCCACCGCUCCUUCAUUGGAAGAGGAAGAUGGCCUAAAGCGCUACAUCCUCCAUCCCCCUACCCCGCCCCCGCCCCCGCAUCAAGGCCCUACUUCCUCUCCACCAGAUCCCUCCAGGUUAUGUCAUCCCAAAUAUCCAUUGUACAUGUUUUAGAACCAUCAUCUCCAGCCAUCGUCGAGGCGGUUUCCACGAUUUCAUGGAAGGUCCGGGGGCGCGGGAGCUACUUCUCGGCCUUGCCGGGUCGACGAUGGCAGAGUUAAGUUACAACACUAUCUGUAUUUUUUAUAAUCUUACGAAACUUGUUACCAACAUGGUAUAUGAGUCUGAGUGUUCCACAUUAUUUGUAAUUUUCAAAUGUUGUGAUAUGCUCUUUGCAGAUCAUUUACUUUUGGUGCCUUGAUUUGUAUCAAAUGUUCUAGAGCACCUAGAAGCCUGGGGUUCAUAUUUCCAAGGGACCCAUUGAUAUUUUGAUAUUCCUAGCGAUUCCUACUCUCCUAGUCUGAAGAGCAAGACAUGGAAGGCUUUCACACAUUAAGCCGUAAAGAACUUCUCAUUCUUUUGGAGCGGACCCGUAGCAUAACAGGUUUAUUUCAUAUUUCCUCAACACAGCUCUACUGAAGGAUGAUGUUUCUCCUUAUUCGCAUAUAUGUGUGGGAAAAAUACGAGUGUCAACAAUUUUUUUGUCUCACCAACAACUUUCACGCCCUUCAUAAAACAAGUUGAUCUGGCCCCGAUUAAUUACGUUGUACAAAGGUAGGUAACGUUAUUUUGAUACGGCGAUGUCCAAAAGUUCUAAGUGAUUGAUUCAGUUAUUAUAAUGCCCCAUGACAUGAUAAUAAUUUUGUUUUUUUAACCUCUUAAAUGUAUCUUGCCUUUUUCUAUCUUGACCUAAUACUCCCUGUAAUGUACUACAAAUUUUGUAUCUAUGUAUUUCUUAACUAAGAUGUGAUCUAAAUCCAAAUAGGAAGCAACUAUUUACUCAUCCUAUUCUGACUUUAUGAAUGUCUAGAGUCUAACAUCAAUUGUAACAAUUAUAUAGUUCUACGGAUUUCAUUGCUUUACCAUGGAUGGUUUUAACAUGUUACAGAUGGAGAAUCAUCAUGCAGCUGCAUCUCAGAAAGGGUCAGGUGAACAUGCCCCGUUUAAAGACCAAAUGAGCAUAAUAUAUUUAUAGAUAGUUCUUUUUUUGUUUGAAACUAUGCCAAAAUUUAUUGUUGCAAGUUCAUCAAUGGAAACCAAGGGUUCAUGCUUUAGAUUGACGACUUCUUGUUGCGGUUUGUCGGCUAGGUAGGGGAGAUCGGCAUGGCUAAAUCCUUUUUUUGCAUGGUGUGACCGUGUGAAAGGCUGGUGAUUGUCUCAACGUUCUUUUUCUACAAAAGAGUGUAAAUCA